AUUGAACGCUGGCGGAAUGCUUUACACAUGCAAGUCGAACGGCAGCACGGACUUCGGUCUGGUGGCGAGUGGCGAACGGGUGAGUAAUGUAUCGGAACGUGCCCAGUCGUGGGGGAUAACGAAGUGAAAAUUACGCUAAUACCGCAUACGAUCUAUGGAUGAAAGCGGGGGAUCGCAAGACCUCGCUCGAUUGGAGCGGCCGAUACCAGAUUAGGCAGUUGGUGGGGUAAAGGCCCACCAAGCCAACGAUCUGUAGCUGGUCUGAGAGGACGACCAGCCACACUGGAACUGAGACACGGUCCAGACUCCUACGGGAGGCAGCAGUGGGGAAUUUUGGACAAUGGGCGAAACCCUGAUCCAGCCAUUCCGCGUGCAGGAUGAAGGCCCUCGGGUUGUAAACUGCUUUUGUACAGAACGAAAAGGUUUCUACUAAUACUUGGAGCUCAUGACGGUACUGUAAGAAUAAGCACCGGCUAACUACGUGCCAGCAGCCGCGGUAA
rnacentral:rRNA from 1 species